rnacentral:sRNA from 1 species
AGCGAGAUUGACCGGGAGCGAAACCCGGAGGACACCGCUGGGCUGGUUAAGCAUCGCGCCGAGCUGUUCGUGCGC